rnacentral:rRNA from 1 species
GACGAACGCUGGCGGCGUGCUUAACACAUGCAAGUCGAACGGAAAGGCCCUGCUUUUGUGGGGUGCUCGAGUGGCGAACGGGUGAGUAACACGUGAGUAACCUGCCCUUGACUUUGGGAUAACUUCAGGAAACUGGGGCUAAUACCGGAUAGGAGCUCCUGCUGCAUGGUGGGGGUUGGAAAGUUUCGGCGGUUGGGGAUGGACUCGCGGCUUAUCAGCUUGUUGGUGGGGUAGUGGCUUACCAAGGCUUUGACGGGUAGCCGGCCUGAGAGGGUGACCGGCAACAUGGGGAUGGGGUACGGGCCAGGACUCUUACGGGAGGCAGCAGUGGGGAAUAUUGAACAAGGGGCGGAGGCCGGAGGCAGAAACGCCGGGGGCGGGAGGACGGCUUUCGGGUUGUAAACGGCUUUCGCCUGUGACGAGGCGUGAGUGAGGGAAAGGGGAAAGAAGGAACGGCUAACUAAGGU